rnacentral:siRNA from 1 species
CUACUUCGGUUGUCAGAAUUAUGC